AUAUAUAUAUACCUCAAGAUCCAAAUCAGGAACUCCAAGAAUAGCUAUUCUUGUGGCAGACUUCGCCAUUUUGGAGAGAUUGCUUGAUUCAUCAGAUGACUGAUUCCCGUAAAUGUCAAGCGAAGACCUGAUAUCAUUCCCAACCUGGCAAAUAUAAAUGUACUAGUAACUUCCAACAACACAGUUUCUUUUAAUAAUUUUGUUACAUCAAAAGAAAAGUACUAGUAGAAAGCUAGAAAAAUACUCAAUAUAUAUCAAUUUCUUUGCCGUAAUUUGCAUUGUAGAAAACAAAUAGGAC
rnacentral:lncRNA from 1 species